UUGAGCCGUAUGCUAUGGAAAGUAGCACGUACGGUUCUAAGAGGGGGAAAGUCCCGAGAGGACCUACCUAUCUCAAC
rnacentral:ncRNA from 1 species